GGUCCCGUAGCUCAGUUGGGUAGAGUGUUGGUCUUAUGAGCCAAAGGUCGCGAGUUCAGUCCUCUCCGGGACCA
rnacentral:tRNA from 1 species